CGCUGUGUUGACACGCUCUGCACCUUGCUCCUGCCCUCGCCUUUCACUCUUCUUAUCCCCCCGAUACCCCGAUCAUUCCUGACAGCUCCUGAGUGCCUGGAUUUCAUCAUCCAGCCCUGCAGGAUGCUCCCCUUUGUUCUGAGGAAGACUGUCCCAGACAGAGAGGAGGAGAUGGAGGUAGAUACAAAGAUUGAUAUGGAGGAGGAGAUGGAGGUGGAUGCAAAGAUUGAUAUGGAGGAGGAGAUGGAAAUAGACGGAGAAGACCCUGGAGAGGAAGAGAUGGAUGUGGAUGUGGAGGAGGAAGAAGAGAUGGAUGUGGAUAUGGAAGAGUCCAUUGAGGACAUGGAUAUUGAUUAAAAAGGUGCGAUGGACAUCACAGACAGAGACACCACCCUUUUGUAUAUAUGUUCUACACUUUGUUGUUGUUCUUUAGAAUAUAGAUUGUAGGGCUAUUUUUGACUUCUGUAAAUACGUUUCCCAUAGUGUUGCUAGGUAGGUUUUUAUGUAUAUAUGUUCUAUCGAUUGUUGUUGUUACAAAUGUUCUUACAAUGUAAAUAUGUUCUGUAUUUUUGCUGCUGUUUUUCUGUAAUAAACAAAUUUUA